GAGGUUGUGGCUCAGUGGUAGAGCACUUGCCUAGCACAUGCAAGGCCCUGGGUUCAAUCCUCAGCACCACA
rnacentral:tRNA from 1 species